rnacentral:rRNA from 1 species
GUAAGGAAUAUUGGACAAUGGACGCAAGUCUGAUCCAGCCAUGCCGCGUGAAGGAUUAAGGUCCUCUGGAUUGUAAACUUCUUUUAUAAGGGACGAAAAAAGGCUUUUCUAAGUCGUCUGACGGUACCUUAUGAAUAAGCACCGGCUAACUCCGUGCCAGCAGCCGCGGUAAUACGGAGGGUGCAAGCGUUAUCCGGAUUCACUGGGUUUAAAGGGUGCGUAGGCGGGCAGGUAAGUCAGUGGUGAAAUCCUAGAGCUUAACUCUAGAACUGCCAUUGAUACUAUCUGUCUUGAAUAUUGUGGAGGUAAGCGGAAUAUGUCAUGUAGCGGUGAAAUGCUUAGAUAUGACAUAGAACACCUAUGGCGAAGGCAGCUUACUACGCAUAUAUUGACGCUGAGGCACGAAAGCGUGGGGAUCAAACAGGAUUAGAUACCCUGGUAGUCC